UACGUAGGUGGCAAGCGUUAUCCGGAUUUAUUGGGCGUAAAGGGAACGCAGGCGGUCUUUUAAGUCUGAUGUGAAAGCCUUCGGCUUAACCGGAGUAGUGCAUUGGAAACUGGGAGACUUGAGUGCAGAAGAGGAGAGUGGAACUCCAUGUGUAGCGGUGAAAUGCGUUGAUAUAUGGAAGAACACCAGUGGCGAAAGCGGCUCUCUGGUCUGUAACUGACGCUGAGGGUCGAAAGCGUGGGUAGCAAACAGG
rnacentral:rRNA from 1 species